UACGAAGGGGGGCUAGCGUUGCUCGGAAUGACUGGGCGUAAAGGGCGCGUAGGCGGUUUGUACAGUCAGACGUGAAAUUCCCGGGCUCAACCUGGGGGCUGCGUUUGAGACGUACAGGCUUGAGUAUGGAAGAGGGUCGUGGAAUUUCCAGUGUAGAGGUGAAAUUCGUAGAUAUUGGAAAGAACACCGGUGGCGAAGGCGGCGACCUGGUCCAUUACUGACGCUGAGGCGCGAAAGCGUGGGGAGCAAACAGG
rnacentral:rRNA from 1 species